rnacentral:rRNA from 1 species
UUCGGUGGCAAUGGCGGAGGGGAAACACCCGUUCCCAUUCCGAACACGGAAGUUAAGCCCUCCAGCGCCGAUGGUACUGCCGUGGUAACGCGGUGGGAGAGUAGGUCGUCGCCGAGC